GGAGGAGCCGGAGCCGGAGCCGGAGACGGGCUGUGGAGGAGAGUUGGUUGCGUCGGCUCUGCCUGGCUCGCGCGGGGCCGUUGGAGCCUCUCCCGGGGCCGGAGAAGGGUGUGUGGCUGAGAUCAGGGCUCCUAUCGUACUGAGCGUGGCCCUGUUCUGCCAGGUGCUGCGGAGACCCCAACUGAGAUCUGGGCCCUGCUUUGCCAGGCACUGAAGAGACCCCAGGCUACAGAAUAACAUCCACGUUUUGCUCCAGAUCAUCCCAUCCUCCCAGGGGGAAGGCAAUGGCUGCAAUGGAGCUGGCUCAGGCCUUCCAUUCUCCUGUUCAAGAGACAUCACCCAGGGCUCCCUCUGCCUGUGUGACUGGCCAGCAGGGGGUGGUGAUAACUUCCUAUCCACCUCUCAGGCACUGUGAGAGUCCUGGCUCCAAGCACUGCCCGGCAUUCCCCAGUCACGUGCCCUGUCACUGUGAUAACUUUCUAUCCACUUAUCAAACACUGUGAGGCUGCAGAAUAAUGUCCAUGUUUCGCUCCAGUUCAUCCCGUCCUCUCGUUGGACAGGGGAGAGAAAUGGCUGCAGAGGAGCCAGUUCAGGGGCCGGUGACCUUCGAGGAGGUGGCUGUGUAUUUCACCAG